rnacentral:rRNA from 1 species
UACGUGAGGUCCGAGCGUUGUCCGGAAUUAUUGGGCGUAAAGAGCUCGUAGGCGGUUUGUCGCGUCUGCCGGUGAAAGUCCGGGGCUCAACUCCGGAUCUGCGGUGGGUACGGGCAGACUAGAGUGAUGUAGGGGAGACUGGAAUUCCUGGUGUAGCGGUGGAAAAUGCGCAGAUAUCAGGAGGAACACCGGUGGCGAAGGCGAGUCUCUGGGCAGCAUCUGACACUGAGGCACGAAGGCCAGGGGAGGCAAACGGG